rnacentral:rRNA from 1 species
CUAAACAUUUCCUUUUUUUGUACCGUUGUUUGUCUGGUGCCCGCGAGCAGAAGAGAGGGGGAGCGGGUGCUUGAGGAGCGGCGGUGGCGGUGGGUGCGCCUGUGAAGGCCGCUGGAGGCUACGGCGCGUCGUGCGGGGGCUCGAGGGGUACCAGGCGCGGACGGAGGGGAGGCCGGUCUAAGAGGCGAGGGCAGGAGAUGGCGGGCGAGCGUUGGGGUGGGGGCACCGAUCCCAAAGCCCGUCCCGAAGCGGCCGCGCAGAGGCCGCCGGGGUCAAUAAACCGAGUAGCAGCACAGCGUUCAAAGACUGCAACGACAUGUGGCGCCUAAAGCGGCCUUUAGGUAGACGUGCAUGAGGUGGCAGACGGCCUUGAAGCAGACUGGACUCUAAAUAAAAGCAUCGUUGCGUGCUCAUUAAAUGAUCUCGCUCGCCGCAGCACCACUAGAGCGACCGUUCGCUACGCUCCUCCUGCCGCUCGACUCGGCUUCCUCCCGCUCCGUAGGUGUUCGUCCUCCGAGGGACCACUUAGCCCCUCUGUCGCGCUCCGUAGAGGCUGCCGCACCCGGCCCGGCGGCCCACGGCACGAAGGAAUCUAAGCGCAAAGUCGGUACGUAGGUCAAACAACGAAGGGAACUACAGCUGCCGUGAUACUAGUCGACACAAGAGAAGGAGGUACAUGAUUCGGUGCUGCUCUACCACCUCUCCGCUUGGAGUUUACGCGUUGUAGACUAGAACGAACGACUCGACGAUAAGGACCAUAUGUUGGGAAUUUGUGUUCGUACAGAAAUAAAUAAACAAAUAGAACGAAACGAAGUUACCUUCUUUAUUUUUUUCCCGUUGGACCACGUAUAUCGAGGGCGAACGCGUCCCAGGUCCCUUCCCAGGCUGGUGAAACCCAGAUAUCAUGCGUCGGAAAGGGAUGUAAAGACAUUCUCCGACAAAGGUCCUGAACUUGGGUACUGGAGUACCAGUGUUCCGUCGUCGAAAUGGUGACGCGGUUCCGAGGGGAAGUUACCUUCUUUAUUUUUAUUCUUUGUUAAAAAUACCACCUCAGGAGGGGUGAACACGGUUCUCCAGGACCCAUAGAGACGUAACGUUAAACGUCCCCAUUCUGAUCCAAGGAUAUUAGGGAGGGGUCUGGGGUGGAACACACCCUCGAAGAUACGUGACCCAGACAGGAAAAAUUAAAAACACCACCUAGAGAACCUUUUAAACCUUGUUAUAAACUAGACCCCUGUUGUUGAUACUUUUGUUAACUAGAACCUAAACUCAAAGAAAAUUAGAAAUUUACUACAUACCCCGGUCGUUUAAGUCAAUAAACCAAAACAUUCAAACUAUAAAGACUUUGAACAAUCCUAAAUCCCACGUAUAUAGUCCUAUACACGUAGUGCGAGUUACCACUCUGCUCUUGGACUAGGCUAGUGUAUAAAGAAAACAAAGAGACCGUACAAGUUUAUAUCUUUUGUACAUCGAAUCAGCUAUGAUUUACAAACCGUGGUCUCAAAAAAGCGUCAUUAGUCUAUAAAAAAAUGGCUUCUGGAAGAAUAGAAUGACGUACAUAGUGAAUUAUAAUUGUGAAGUUGUAGUGAGCACCGAUAACCUAUCGGUACCAUACACAAUCAAAAUUAAAUGGUGUCUUCAAGCUAAGAACCCUCUGUCCUAUCCACGUAUGUAAUGAAAAGAAUACUUAGCAAAGAGAAAAACACGUGAUAGAUAGAUACUUUUGAAAGUUUCUUUAACUGCCGCCGCCGAGCCGCCGCCACACCGCUUACUGCUUCGUAGAUUUUACCUGCCUUCUCUCCACCAUUCCGCGCCGACCCUCUGCAUGUAUAAACUCCUUUAUACUAAGUAUUCCAAAGUAUAAUUGUUUUUAACUAUCAGAAACAUUUCAUUAAGCUUGUAAAACAACUAAGACCCUGUUGAAAUAAGAGGUUAUACUUAGACAUUCUUUUCUAUACCAACUACCACCAGGAUACACGACC